rnacentral:rRNA from 1 species
CCUACGGGAGGCAGCAGUAAGGAAUAUUGGUCAAUGGGCGCAAGCCUGAACCAGCCAUGCCGCGUGCAGGAAGACGGUCCUAUGGGUUGUAAACUGCUUUUGAACAAGAGAAAACCUCGGUACGUGUACCGAGCUGAUAGUAUUGUUAGAAUAAGCAUCGGCUAACUUCGUGCCAGCAGCCGCGGUAAGACGAAGGAUGCAAGCGUUAUCCGGAUUCAUUGGGUUUAAGGGGUGCGUAGGCGGCCUGAUAAGUCAGUGGUGAAAUCUCUCAGCUUAACUGAGAAACUGCCAUUGAUACUGUCGGGCUUGAGUACAGAUGAUGUGGGCGGAAUAUGACAUGUAGUGGUGAAAUACUUAGAUAUGUCAUAGAACACCGAUUGCGAAGGCAGCUCACAAAACUGUAACUGACGCUGGAGACGACGAAGUAGCGGGAGUACAACAGAGUAGUAUACCUACGUACGUACGUCGACCGUAACGUAACGUAGUAUACUCGUU